AACGAACGCUGGCGGCGUGCCUAACACAUGCAAGUCGAGCGAGAAAGCCCGCAAGGGUGAGUAAAGCGGCGCACGGGUGCGUAACACGUGGGUAAUCUGCCCUGAAGUCCGGAAUAACUCGCCGAAAGGCGUGCUAAUGCCGGAUAAGACCACGGGAGCCUCGGCUCCUGCGGGAAAAGGUGGCCUCUGUACACAAGCUAUCACUUCAGGAUGAGCCCGCGGCCCAUCAGCUCGUUGGCGGGGUAAUGGCCCACCAAGGCUACGACGGGUAGCUGGUCUGAGAGGACGAUCAGCCACACUGGAACUGAGACACGGUCCAGACUCCUACGGGAGGCAGCAGUGGGGAAUCUUGCGCAAUGGGCGAAAGCCUGACGCAGCAACGCCGCGUGUGUGAUGAAGGUCUUCGGAUCGUAAAGCACUGUCGCGAGGGACGAAUAAGGGGCGGGCUAACAUCCCGUUCCGAUGACGGUACCUCGAGAGGAAGCACCGGCUAACUCUGUGCCAGCAGCCGCGGUAAUACAGAGGGUGCAAGCGUUGUUCGGAAUUAUUGGGCGUAAAGCGCGUGUAGGCGGCUUUGUAAGUUGGGUGUGAAAGCCCUCGGCUUAACCGAGGAAGUGCGCCCAAAACUGCAUGGCUUGAGUACCGGAGAGGGUGGCGGAAUUCCCGGUGUAGAGGUGAAAUUCGUAGAUAUCGGGAGGAACACCAGCGGCGAAGGCGGCCACCUGGACGGAUACUGACGCUGAGACGCGAAAGCGUGGGGAGCAAACAGGAUUAGAUACCCUGGUAGUCCACGCCGUAAACGUUGAGCGCUAGGUGUUGUGGGUGUUGACCCCUGCAGUGCCGCAGCUAACGCAUUAAGCGCUCCGCCUGGGAAGUACGGCCGCAAGGCUAA
rnacentral:rRNA from 1 species